rnacentral:lncRNA from 1 species
AGUUCAUCCACAGAGACCUGGCAGCCAGGAACCCUGGUGGGAGACAACUUUGUGGCCAAGAUAGCCGACUUUGGUCUGUCCAGAGGUCAGGAGGUCUAUGUGAAGAAGACGAUGGGACGGUUACCUGUCAGGUGGAUGGCCAUAGAAUCAUGAACUACCGUGUCACACCACCAACAGUGAUGUGUGAGUACUGCAUCUUUCAUCUAUUUAAAAAAAAUGGGAAUGGAAUGUUCUUAGAAGUAAGUGUCCAGACACCUUUUUUGUGAUUUCCCUAGUUUUUGUGAAACUUACCCUAAACAGCAAAUCACUUCCUCAUACUCGUUGUGUAUUAUGGGGGGCCCUGAAAAUCAUGAACAAAGGCUCCCAAAAAACACCCCCAAAACGUCCUUUUAGAAAGGGAAAAGCUCUCGAACCAGUGAUGCAGGUCUUCGUUUAAACUGUUUCAUACCGAAUACGCUAAGCUGUUUCAUACCGAAUACGCUAAGCUGUUUAUACUGAUCUUUAUCCGCAACGUUACAGUGGGGCAAAAAAGUAUUAGUCAGCCACAAUUGUGCAAGUUCUCCCACUUAAAAAGAUGAGAGGCCCUGUAAUUUUCAUCAUAGGUACACUUCAACUAUGACAGACAAAAUGAGGGAAAAAAAUCCAGAAAAUCACAUUGUAGGAUUUUUAAUGAAUUUAUUUGCAAAUUAUGGUGGAAAAUAAGUAUUUGGUAAUGUACAAACAAGCAAGAUUUCUGGCUUUCACAGACCUGUAACCUUCUUCUUUAAGAGGCUCCUCUGUCCUCCACUCAUUA